UGCAUAUCAAUAAGCGGAGGAAAAGAAACUAACAAGGAUUCCCCUAGUAACGGCGAGUGAAGAGGGAAGAGCCCAAGAUUGAAAGCUGGCGUCUUCGGCGUCCGCAUUGUAAUCUCAAGAAGUGUUUUCCGCUUCGGACCAAGCCUAAGUCCCUUGGAAAAGGGCAUCAUAGAGGGUGAUAAUCCCGUACAUGGCUUGGAGCGCCCGAGGCUUUGUGAUACGCUUUCUAAGAGUCGAGUUGUUUGGGAAUGCAGCUCAAAAUGGGUGGUAAAUGCCAUCUAAGGCUAAAUAUUGGGGAGAGACCGAUAGCGAACAAGUACAGUGAUGGAAAGAUGAAAAGAACUUUGAAAAGAGAGUUAAACAGUACGUGAAAUUGCCAAAAGGGAAGGGUAGGAGGUCAGAGAUGCGGCCUGGGAUUCAGCCUUGCUUUUGCUUGGUGUUUUUCCCAGAUUGCAGGCCAACGUCGGUUUUGGGCACUGGAGAAGGGUAGGAGGAACGUGGCACCCCUCGGGGUGUGUUAUAGCCUCCUACUGGAUACAGCGACCGAGACCGAGGACAGCAGCGUACUCGUAAGAGCGGGCCUUCGGGUACCUUUACGCUUAGGGCGUUGGCAUAAUGGCCCUCUACCACCCGUCUUGAAACACGGACCA
rnacentral:rRNA from 1 species